ACAAGAUCACACCCUUUUUUGUUUUUUUGGUCUCGGCCUCACGUCUUAGAAUUCAAAUUUCAAAUCUCUCUCUCUCUCUCUCUCCCUACUUCUGUACAUGUCGAUACACAAAUCUCAAAACUAGAACUAGGGUUUUUAACUUACAAUGCUUCUUCGAAGUGCAUCAAAUCCAGUUCUAAAUUCAUGGCUUCCACAUUUGAAAGAGUCAUCAAUAUCCCCAGAGACAUAGAUUUCUUUUCAAAUCCCAAAGACUCGAUUGGUCUCGAUGGUCUUAGUUUCUCCGAUCGACGAAUUGGGGAAGAAAAUGACCAGAGCGAUGUCAGAGACUGAUCUCAGAGAGCUUUCGGUCUCCAAAUGAAGACUACUAUUGCCGGCGAUUGCAAUGGAGGAGGAGGAGGAGGAGGAGGAGAGAGAGAAAGGUUUGGAUUCGAGAUUAGAUUCGUUGGAUCGAAUGUUAUUUUUGGGGUCUGGAUUGGAUGAGAUUGUAGUUGAUGAGGAGUGUGAUGUUGUUGAGGUUAGGGAAUGGAAAUUGGGCGGUGUUGUUGUGGGUGGUGGUAGAUACGGCGGAGGUGGGUGAUUGACCGGUGGUGGUGGAUACAGCGGAGAUUUCAGAUCCUCAACAAAUAUGAGUGGGCUAAGGGCUACAAGUAGUUAUAAGGAAUCUGAUGGGAAUAAAGUUGUGAAAGAUAUCAUUUUUGGCCCAGGAGAAAAGAAAUAUCGGUUCUGUAAGUUAACCAUAAGCUUCUCUAUCAAUUACUCAAGAUUGCUCAUGUUUCAUGACCUAUUACAAAAUUCUGUGCUAUUUUUCUUCUUUAGUAAAAUCAUGCUUUGGAAUAAUUUUGUCAAUCUGCAAAAUUAUUCAUGAUUGUCCAUCCUCGGAUAAGAUUACUAAUCCUCUGUUUGGUUCAUCAAUUUUUUGAGGAAAAGGAAAAGG